rnacentral:rRNA from 1 species
UACGUAGGGUGCGAGCGUUGUCCGGAAUUACUGGGCGUAAAGAGCUCGUAGGCGGUUCGUCGCGUCGGCUGUGAAAACCUGAGGCUCAACCUCAGGCCUGCAGUCGAUACGGGCGGACUUGAGUACUGCAGGGGAGACUGGAAUUCCUGGUGUAGCGGUGAAAUGCGUAGAUAUCAGGAGGAACACCGGUGGUGUAAACGGCUUUCUGGACCAUAAACUGACGC